rnacentral:rRNA from 1 species
UACGUAGGGGGCUAGCGUUGUCCGGAAUCAUUGGGCGUAAAGCGCGCGUAGGCGGCCCGGUAAGUCCGCUGUAAAAGUCAAAGGCUCAACCUUUGAAUGUCAGUGGAUACUGCCGGGCUAGAGUCCGGAAGAGGCGAGUGGAACUCCUGGUGUAGCGGUGGAAUGCGCAGAUAUCAGGAAGAACACCGACGGCGAAGGCAGCUCGCUGGGACGGUACUGACGCUGAGGCGCGAAAGCGUGGGGAGCGAAUGGG